rnacentral:rRNA from 1 species
GACGAACGCUGGCGGCGUGCUUAACACAUGCAAGUCGAACGGAAAGGCCCUGCUUUUGUGGGGUGCUCGAGUGGCGAACGGGUGAGUAACACGUGAGUAACCUGCCCUUGACUUUGGGAUAACUUCAGGAAACUGGGGCUAAUACCGGAUAGGAGCUCCUGCUGCAUGGUGGGGGUUGGAAAGUUUCGGCGGUUGGGGAUGGACUCGCGGCUUAUCAGCUUGUUGGUGGGGUAGUGGCUUACCAAGGCUUUGACGGGUAGCCGGCCUGGGAGGGUGACCGGCGACAUUGGGACUGAGAUACGGCCCAGACUCCUACGGGAGGCAGCAGUGGGGAAUAUUGCACAAUGGGCGGAAGCCUGAUGCGGCAACGCCGCGUGCGGGAUGACGGCCUUCGGGUUGUAAACCGCUUUCGCCUGUGACGAAGCGUGAGUGACGGUAAUGGGUAAAGAAGCACCGGCUAACUACGUG